rnacentral:rRNA from 1 species
UACGUAGGGGGCAAGCGUUGUCCGGAUUUAUUGGGCGUAAAGAGCGUGUAGGCGGCUUGACAAGUCUGCUGUGAAAACUCGAGGCUCAACCUCGAGCUGUCGGUGGAAACUGUCUGGCUAGAGUCCGGAAGAGGAGAGUGGAAUUCCUGGUGUAGCGGUGAAAUGCGCAGAUAUCAGGAAGAACACCUAUGGCGAAGGCAGCUCUCUGGGACGGUACUGACGCUGAGACGCGAAAGCGUGGGGAGCGAACAGG